GAUGAACGCUGGCGGCGUGCCUAAUACAUGCAAGUCGAGCGAACAGACGAGGAGCUUGCUCCUUUGACGUUAGCGGCGGACGGGUGAGUAACACGUGGGUAACCUACCUAUAAGACUGGGAUAACUUCGGGAAACCGGAGCUAAUACCGGAUAAUAUUUCGAACCGCAUGGUUCGAUAGUGAAAGAUGGCUUUGCUAUCACUUAUAGAUGGACCUGCGCCGUAUUAGCUAGUUGGUAAGGUAACGGCUUACCAAGGCAACGAUACGUAGCCGACCUGAGAGGGUGAUCGGCCACACUGGAACUGAGACACGGUCCAGACUCCUACGGGAGGCAGCAGUAGGGAAUCUUCCGCAAUGGGCGAAAGCCUGACGGAGCAACGCCGCGUGAGUGAUGAAGGUCUUCGGAUCGUAAAACUCUGUUAUUAGGGAAGAAUAAACGUGUAAGUAACUGUGCACGUCUUGACGGUAACUAAUCAGAAAGCCACGGCUAACUACGUG
rnacentral:rRNA from 1 species